UCCAUGCAGUCGACGAUGAUCAGGAGCUUGCUCCUGUGAUUAGUGGCGAACGGGUGAGUAACACGUGAGUAACCUGCCCCUGACUCUGGGAUAAGCGUUGGAAACGACGUCUAAUACUGGAUAUGAUCACUGGUCGCAUGGCCUGGUGGUGGAAAGAUUUUUUGGUUGGGGAUGGACUCGCGGCCUAUCAGCUUGUUGGUGAGGUAAUGGCUCACCAAGGCGACGACGGGUAGCCGGCCUGAGAGGGUGACCGGCCACACUGGGACUGAGACACGGCCCAGACUCCUACGGGAGGCAGCAGUGGGGAAUAUUGCACAAUGGGCGAAAGCCUGAUGCAGCAACGCCGCGUGAGGGAUGACGGCCUUCGGGUUGUAAACCUCUUUUAGUAGGGAAGAAGGGAGCUUCGGUUCUUGACGGUACCUGCAGAAAAAGCACCGGCUAACUACGUGCCAGCAGCCGCGGUAAUACGUAGGGUGCAAGCGUUGUCCGGAAUUAUUGGGCGUAAAGAGCUCGUAGGCGGUUUGUCGCGUCUGCUGUGAAAUCCCGAGGCUCAACCUCGGGCUUGCAGUGGGUACGGGCAGACUAGAGUGCGGUAGGGGAGAUUGGAAUUCCUGGUGUAGCGGUGGAAUGCGCAGAUAUCAGGAGGAACACCGAUGGCGAAGGCAGAUCUCUGGGCCGUAACUGACGCUGAGGAGCGAAAGCAUGGGGAGCGAACAGGAUUAGAUACCCUGGUAGUCCAUGCCGUAAACGUUGGGCGCUAGAUGUAGGGACCUUUCCACGGUUUCUGUGUCGUAGCUAACGCAUUAAGCGCCCCGCCUGGGGAGUACGGCCGCAAGGCUAAAACUCAAAGGAAUUGACGGGGGCCCGCACAAGCGGCGGAGCAUGCGGAUUAAUUCGAUGCAACGCGAAGAACCUUACCAAGGCUUGACAUACACCGGAAACGGCCAGAGAUGGUCGCCCCC
rnacentral:rRNA from 1 species